GAUGAACGCUGGCGGCGUGCCUAAUACAUGCAAGUCGAGCGAACAGACGAGGAGCUUGCUCCUCUGGCGUUAUCGGCGGACGGGUGAGUAACACGUGGAUAACCUACCUAUAAGACUGGGAUAACUUCGGGAAACCGGAGCUAAUACCGGAUAAUAUAUUGAACCGCAUGGUUCAAUAGUGAAAGACGGUUUUGCUGUCACUUAUAGAUGGAUCCGCGCCGCAUUAGCUAGUUGGUAAGGUAACGGCUUACCAAGGCAACGAUGCGUAGCCGACCUGAGAGGGUGAUCGGCCACACUGGAGCUGAGACACGGUCCAGACUCCUACGGGAGGCAGCAGUAGGGAAUCUUCCGCAAUGGGCGAAAGCCUGACGGAGCAACGCCGCGUGAGUGAUGAAGGUCUUCGGAUCGUAAAACUCUGUUAUUAGGGAAGAACAAAUGUGUAAGUAACUAUGCACGUCUUGACGGUACCUAAUCAGAAAGCCACGGCUAACUACGUG
rnacentral:rRNA from 1 species